rnacentral:rRNA from 1 species
CCUACGGGAGGCAGCAGUGGGGAAUAUUGCACAAUGGGGGAAACCCUGAUGCAGCGACGCCGCGUGAGUGAAGAAGUAAUUAGUUAUGUAAAGCUCUAUCAGCAAGGGAGUAAAUGAUGGUACCUGAGUAAGAAGCUACGGCUAACUACGUGCCAGCAGCCGCGGUAAUACGUAGGGGGCAGGCGUGAUACGGAUUUACUGGGUGUAAAGGGAUCGUAGACGGCAGUGCAAGGCUGGAGUGAAAGGCGGGGGCUCGACCCACGGACUGCUCUGGAAACUGUACGGCUGUAGUGCAGGAGAGGGAAGUGGAAUUCCGAGGUGAGCAGUGAAA